rnacentral:tRNA from 1 species
GGUUCCGUAGUUCAAUGGAUAGAACGACAGCCUCCUAAGCUGUAAAUCCGGGUUCGAUUCCCGGCGGGACUGCCA